rnacentral:rRNA from 1 species
AUUGAACGCUGGCGGCAGGCCUAACACAUGCAAGUCGAACGGUAACAGGAAGCGGCUUGCUGCUUUGCUGACGCGUGGCGGACGGGUGAGUAAUGUCUGGGAAACUGCCCGAUGGAGGGGGAUAACUACUGGAAACGGUAGCUAAUACCGCAUAACGUCGCAAGACCAAAGAGGGGGACCUUAGGGCCUCUUGCCAUCGUAUGUGCCCAGAUGGGAUUAGCUAGUAGGUGGGGUAACGGCUCACCUAGGCGACGAUCCCUAGCUGGUCUGAGAGGAUGACCAGCCACACUGGAACUGAGACACGGUCCAGACUCCUACGGGAGGCAGCAGUGGGGAAUAUUGCACAAUGGGCGCAAGCCUGAUGCAGCCAUGCCGCGUGUAUGAAGAAGGCCUUCGGGUUGUAAAGUACUUUCAGCGGGGAGGAAGGGAGGAAAGUUAAUACCUUUGCGCAUUGACGUUACCCGCAGAAGAAGCACCGGCUAACUCCGUG